rnacentral:rRNA from 1 species
AACGAACGCUGGCGGCAGGCUUAACACAUGCAAGUCGAACGCCCCGCAAGGGGAGUGGCAGUCGGGUGAGUAACGCGUGGGAAUCUACCCAGAACUUCGGAAUAACUGAGGGAAACUUCAGCUAAUACCGGAUACGCCCUUAGGGGGAAAGAUUUAUCGGUUUUGGAUGAGCCCGCGUUGGAUUAGCUAGUUGGUGGGGUAAAAGCCUACCAAGGCUACGAUCUAUAGCUGGUCUGAGAGGAUGAUCAGCCACACGGGGACUGAGACACGGCCGAGACUCCUACGGGAGGCAGCAGUGGGGAAUAUUGGACAAUGGGCGCAAGCCUGAUCCAGCCAUGCCGCGUGAGUGAUGAAGGCCCUAGGGUUGUAAAGCUCUUUCGGCGGGGAAGAUAAUGACGGUACCCGCAGAAGAAGCCCCGGCUAACUUCGUGCCAGCCGCCGCCGUAACAC